rnacentral:rRNA from 1 species
GACGAACGCUGGCGGCGUGCUUAACACAUGCAAGUCGAACGGGUCUGCCCUGUUUUUUGCGGGGUGGGUCAGUGGCGAACGGGUGAGUAACACGUGAGUAACCUGCCCCUCACUUCUGGAUAACCGCUUGAAAGGGUGGCUAAUACGGGGUGUUCUGGCUGUGCCGCAUGGUGUGGCUGGGAAAGAUUCACUUUUGUGGUGUUUUGGUGGGGGAUGGGCUCGCGGCCUAUCAGCUUGUUGGUGGGGUGAUGGCCUGCCAAGGCUUUGACGGGUAGCCGGCCUGAGAGGGUUGGCGGUCACACUGGGACUGAGAUACGGCCCAGACUCCUGCGGGAGGCAGCAGUGGGGGGUAUUGCACAAUGGGCGGAAGCCUGAUGCAGCGACGUCGCGUGAGGGAUGGAGGCCUUCGGGUUGUGAACCUCUUUCGCCGGUGAAGAAGGUCCUGCUCUUUGUGGUGGGGUUGACGGUAGCCGGGUUAUGAAGCGCCGGCUAACUACGUG